rnacentral:lncRNA from 1 species
CCUACUUGCUGAAAGCAAAAAUGGAAUGGCCGAUCAUGAAUUCUAUGACGUUUUUAAGACCUCACUAAUCAGCCAACCACUUUUUAGUUCAUAAUGAAUGAACCCCCGGAUGAAAAAAAAAUUUCCCCUCCCUUUUACUAAACCAUGGGGAGCCCCGAGUAGUUUACCGGACAAAUUGAGUUGUCGUGACGAUACCUUUCAACAUCGGAAAAGACUUCUCUUCAUCACGAGACUGAUCGGAUCUGCCGUAGACACCCGAGAGAUCUUCACAAGGCAGGCUAAAAUAAAAGACUAAGAGGCGCUGCAAGCGAGCA